CAGGUAAGCGUGUUGACGACCUCACCUGUACAGCCGACCACAGUAAGAUCUGACGCCUUAUUCUCAGAAGGGUCAACCAGGGGCUCCCCACCGUUUGAAGGUAGCGGUGAUCCUGAGAGACAGACAGACAGGCAGACAUCUUCCCCAUCAGAAGAAUUCGAGUUAUAACGCCGAAAAACAGAGACAAAAAAAGACUUAUUAAAAAAAAAAAAGAGUGAAGUAGGGGGAAAAAAAGGA